GACGAACGCUGGCGGCGUGCUUAACACAUGCAAGUCGAACGGAAAGGCCCUGCUUUUGUGGGGUGCUCGAGUGGCGAACGGGUGAGUAACACGUGAGUAACCUGCCCUUGACUUUGGGAUAACUUCAGGAAACUGGGGCUAAUACCGGAUAGGAGCUCCUGCUGCACGGUGGGGGUUGGAAAGUUUCGGCGGUUGGGGACGGACUCGCGGUCUCUCAGCUUGUUGGUGGGGUAGUGGCUUACCAAGGCUUCGACGGGUAGCCGGCCUGAGAGGGUGACCGGCCACAUUGGGACUGAGAUGCGGCCCGGAGUCCUACGGGGGGCAGCAGUGGAAAAUAGUGCACGAUGGGCGGAGGCCUGAUACAGCAUCGCCGCGUGCGGGAUGACGGCCUUCGGGUUGUAAACCGCUUGAGCCUGUGACGAAGCGUGAGUGACGGUAAUGGGUAAAGAAGCACCGGCUAACUACGUG
rnacentral:rRNA from 1 species